CGUCGAGUGGCGAACGGGUGAGUAACACGUGGGUGAUCUGCCCUGCACUUCGGGAUAAGCCUGGGAAACUGGGUCUAAUACCGGAUAGGAGCUCCUGCUGCAUGGUGGGGGUUGGAAAGUUUCGGCGGUUGGGGAUGGACUCGCGGCUUAUCAGCUUGUUGGUGGGGUAGUGGCUUACCAAGGCUUUGACGGGUAGCCGGCCUGAGAGGGUGACCGGCCACAUUGGGACUGAGAUACGGCCCAG
rnacentral:rRNA from 1 species